rnacentral:rRNA from 1 species
CAGUAGCCGCGGGAAUACGAGGGGGGCAAGCGUUGUUCGGAAUUAUUGGGCGUAAAGGGCGCGUAGGCGGUUUGACAAGUCUGAUGUGAAAUCUAUGGGCUCAACCCAUAGCCUGCAUUAGAAACUGUCGGGCUUGAGUAUGGGAGAGGUGAGUGGAAUUUCCGGUGUAGCGGUGAAAUGCGUAGAUAUCGGAAGGAACACCUGUGGCGAAAGCGGCUCACUGGACCAUAACUGACGCUGAGGCGCGAAAGCUAGGGGAGCAAACAGGAUUAGAUACCCCGGUAGUCCCUGUCUCUUAUAC